rnacentral:rRNA from 1 species
UCUUCGGAGAGUUUGAUCCUGGCUCAGGAUGAACGCUGGCGGCGUGCCUAAUACAUGCAAGUCGAGCGAACUGAUUAGAAGCUUGCUUCUAUGACGUUAGCGGCGGACGGGUGAGUAACACGUGGGCAACCUGCCUGUAAGACUGGGAUAACUUCGGGAA